UAUUCAGGGUGGAUCUUCUCACUUCCUGAAUCCAGUCUAGAAUCAGGCAUACUCGGGUUUGUCUUCUGGUGACUCUGGAUCCUGUCAAGACGACAAUAUUAACCACCACAACUACUCCUAUGUUGAUGUAACUAGGUAAUUAAUCUCUAAGUUCACAUGAGAGAUCCUAAUAAUCAACUGCAUAUAAUUAAAAAUUUGAAGAUAGCAGUAAGCAACAUUGUCACCCAGCCACCUCAGCCGGGAGCCAUUGGGAAGCUUUUGAAUGAUGUCGUUUCUUGCAGCCAGCCUGCAGAAGGAUCAGUGGCUAAUGUGAUUACAGCGGGGGAUUAUGACCUUAACAUCAGUGAUCGGUCAAUUAAAGCUAGUGUUCCUUGGUACAGUAAUUGGAAAGACACUUUCAUGGAAUUGAAAGAAUCCUCGUUAUAUACAGAUUCUAUGUUACCUGUCCUCGGUCCACUUGGAAUCUCUUGAGAGAGCCGAGUCCUGUGUGUUCCUAGGCCCUGCCACAGGGACCUGGACGCCCUGCCUGUUGAGGCAAGGUUGAGGAUGUCUCGGGCCUUAUGGUCCCUGCUUCGCAUGAUGUGGGGCAGCAUCCAUCUGAACGCUCAUCACUACCAAGGCCAAUGUUUUGGAAGGAAGUCCUUCUUCUCCCAUCUUAGUAUUAGACCAUCGGAUUUGGGACACGGGACUAAGGCCGCUGACUCUGCAUCCCUUACAAGCAUACACAGCUGCCUGCCCUUUUGCCUUGUGUCCAUCCUGGAGUGGCCUUCUGCAAGGUGGGAAGCCCGAGCUGGGUCUAGGGUCCCAUUGAGUUGGGUGGUCGUCUCCCUUGGUGUAACACCUUCCAUCCCACUGCCUUAGAAGAACCGGGCACAGCCUUGGAGGCCCCUC